GGAUGUGAGGGCGCUCUGGCUGUGACAUCUGUCACCCCAUUGAUCGCCAGGGUUGAUUCGGCUGAUCUGGCUGGCUAGGCGGGUGUCCCCUUCCUCCCUCACCGCUCCAUGUGUGUCCCUCCCAAAGCUGCGCGCUCAGUCAAAGAGGACUGCCUUCCCCGAAUAGAGACAGACCGGUCUUCAGUUAAGGGUAUAUGAGUAGCUGCAUUCCCCUGCUAGAACCUCCAAACAAGCUCUUAAGAAAGUAAAAACAGCUUGCACAAUUCUGGGAGGGCAGCUGGCAGAAUCAACAUUUAAUAUUUCCCUUUUCUCCAUGGAAGAAUGAG
ensembl:misc_RNA 7SK 7SK RNA